AUUGAACGCUGGCGGCAUGCCUUACACAUGCAAGUCGAACGGCAGCGGGGGAGGAGCUUGCUUUUCCUGCCGGCGAGUGGCGAACGGGUGAGUAAUACAUCGGAACGUGCCCUGUAGUGGGGGAUAACUAGUCGAAAGAUUAGCUAAUACCGCAUACGACCUGAGGGUGAAAGUGGGGGACCGCAAGGCCUCAUGCUAUAGGAGCGGCCGAUGUCUGAUUAGCUAGUUGGUGGGGUAAAGGCCUACCAAGGCGACGAUCAGUAGCUGGUCUGAGAGGACGAUCAGCCACACUGGGACUGGAACACGGCCCAGACUCCUACGGGAGGCAGCAGUGGGGAAUUUUGGACAAUGGGCGAAAGCCUGAUCCAGCAAUGCCGCGUGUGUGAAGAAGGCCUUCGGGUUGUAAAGCACUUUUGUCCGGAAAGAAAUGGCUCUGGGCUAAUACCCCGGGAGGAUGACGGUACCUGAAGAAUAAGCACCGGCUAACUACGUGCCAGCCGCCGCCGUAA
rnacentral:rRNA from 1 species